GAAGUUGAAACAGCGGGCUUUCGUGCAUUACAAAUCAUCGGCUCGGGUUACUUGAAGAAUCAGAGAAGAACCGAAGCAGUAUGUCAUAAGCGCCUCUAUCUCAACAAUCUACCAUGACAUUAUCAUCCAAUAGAGAGAUCGUAAUUAAGGGAACCAAGAGUUACAGAAACUAGUCAACUUCUUUCUUACAUCAGGUAACAACAACAUAUCCACAUACUAUUAUUUUCAUAUCACUUCUUCUUCUACAGUAUCCUUAUUAUUAAAACUGUCCCAUCUUGAAUCCAGAUUCAUAAACAAUCUAACUGGAUCUACUUGCUUGCCCUUAGCUGGACCAAGUAUCUUGACAAACCACUUCGGCUUGAAUGAAGCAAUAACGUGUGCCAUUACCAAUCCAAGUAACAGUCCAGGCCAAUACCCGAAAAACACUGCUUUCCACUCAAUCACUUCGUCCUCUUCUUCUUCUUCGUCUUCUUCCUUGGGAUAUUUUGUUGGUGGCGCAACGCAACUUCCUUGGAGAGGAAGACCACAGAGACCUACAUUCCCUUCAAAUGAUGAUUCAGCUUGCCCACUAAACUGUGGUCCCUGUGGUCUAGUGACUCGAGCUCCGUAACAUUUGCCAAAGACAUAGGAAUAUGGCCAGUGAAGGCGUUGUUCGAUAAGUUGAGCGCUAUCAAUUCCUUCAACAGACCAAUAGACUCAGGAAUCUGUCCUUCAAGUUUGUUUCCAGAGAAAUCAAUGGUGCUGUAGAAAUUAACAAAGAAAUUUGGUGGCAAGCUUCCAGUAAAGCUGUUAUCUGACAAUUCAAGUAUCCGCAGCUCGGGAAACGCGAGAGGACCUCGAUCAGGAGGAGAGAGAUGGCCGAAGAAUCUGUUUGAACGGAGAGUCAAGACAUGCAAAUUGGGUAGCGCCUUCAGCCAGAAAGGAAACGUGUCUUCAAUUCUGUUGUUGUCAACACUCAGAAACCUCAGAGAGGAGCAAUUCAAAAGUGAUUUUGGAAGCUUCCCGGUUAGUCGAUUAUAGCCAACGUCAAGCGUCUGUGUCUUAGCACCGCUAUGGAACUCGUCAGAUCAAGGACGAUGAGAGAGCUUCGGUUGCAGAUUGAGAGAGGUAUGUUCCCUGUGAAACUAUUGUUCCACGCAGACAAGUAGAUCGAACCGAGUGGUGGAGUAGGAAACGCUCCUGUCAUGGAGUUAUAGGCAAAAUCUAGUAACUGCACUGAUGAGUUAAGUAAAACUUCUGAAGAACCUUCGAAACCAGUCAAAGAAUUGUUAACAAGAUUUGCUAUGCUAAGACGAGGAAGCUUCCAAAACCACUCAGGUACUUUCCCUUUGAUUAGAUUGUUGGAAAUGUCUAUAUGCUCCAAGUUUUGAAGGGUCUUAAAGAUGUUUGGAAACUCGAUAAUGUCGCACUGGAUCAAAAUCAAGCUUAUUAAGCUCAAUGGAAACUCUGAAUCUGAACUUAAACUGGCUGGUAAUAACCUAUUUUGACGAAUAUCAAAGACCAACAAAGAUUUGAGAGGAGCGAAGACGCGUAAGUCAAUUGGGUGACUUAUGUUUAGGGAAGCAAGUUCAAGAUGGUUGAGGUUUAUGAGCUUUGAGAUAGGCUCUAUGAUUUUUCCUUCAAAUUGGUUAAACCCAAGGGACAAACGAACUAGCUUAGAUGAAGAAGAAGAGUUUGGGACAUCAAUAGAACCAGUGAGAUGAUUCUUUUUCAGAUCAAGAUAAGACAAGAAAGGCAAAGUGGGUAGUAAAUCAAAAGGUAUGGCUCCUGAGAAUUGAUUGUAAGAAAGGUCUAAAAAGGAAAGCUUUGUUAGGUUUCUUACAGGUGGGAAACUACCAGUGAGCUCAUUAUGGGAAAGGUUUAAAUGGGUAAGCAAGAUAAGGUUACUAAUUGAGGAAGGAACUUGACCAGUAAAGCUACUAGAGGCAAGAGACAAAACCUCUAAUCUGGUGAGAUUGCUGAAUUCAGAAGGGAGUGAAGAGGAAGUGAAGUUGUUGUGAGAGAGAUUAAGGUAACGAAGCUGAUGCAACUCAAAGAGACUACUGUUUGGUUUGAGAGUUCCAGUGAAGCAACCACUUGGGAGCUGAAGCUUCGUGACCGCACCAGUCGUGUUAUCACACUGGACUCCGUUUAAGUAGUCACUGCGGUUGCAGCCGUCAGAUUCAAACUCAUUCUUGAAUUGGAUUAGAGCUUGGAUCUGGUCAGGAAGACAAGCAAGAGCGUCGGUCGUCAAGAAGCUUGAAACGAAGACGAUACAGUAGAGUAAGAGUAGCGAGCAAAAAUGCAAACGCAUGGUGUUUGUGAUUGAACCAACAAGUUGAGGAAAUUAUUGAACCCAAAAAAAGACAUAUCAAAGAUUUGCUAUAUAUAUGUUAUUUUAAGCCGCCUUUACUAAAUAUGUGGGGUUUAAAUGUCACGUGAAAUGUCUACGAGUCACAUUUGUUCAUGAAGUAAAUUCCACGUGGACAUCUCUGACUAUAUAACUGGGAGUUAUAGUUGACUGUUAAAAU
rnacentral:lncRNA from 1 species